CAAGUCACAGGGUGCAGUGACUGCUUUUGUGCUUAUACAGAGUAAAUAAGCACAUCUGUAUUCCCUUAUUCCUGUACUUG
ensembl:miRNA gga-mir-1802 gga-mir-1802